rnacentral:rRNA from 1 species
UACGUAGGUGGCGAGCGUUGUCCGGAUUUACUGGGCGUAAAGGGAGCGUAGGCGGAUUUUUAAGUGAGAUGUGAAAUACUCGGGCUCAACUUGAGUGCUGCAUUUCAAACUGGAAGUCUAGAGUGCAGGAGAGGAGAAUGGAAUUCCUAGUGUAGCGGUGAAAUGCGUAGAGAUUAGGAAGAACACCAGUGGCGAAGGCGAUUCUCUGGACUGUAACUGACGCUGAGGCUCAAAAGCGUGGGGAGCAAACAGG